rnacentral:tRNA from 1 species
GGGUAGCCUAGUGGACAUGGCAUCUGCCUGGUAAACGGAACACAGUGGGUUCGAUUCCCAUCGCUAUACA